GUGAAUGAUUUAAAGUACAUAGUGUUGUGUGUGUUCGUAUCGGAUGAAGGCACAAAGCAAAUCAGCAAAAAUGGUAGGAUCAGAACUGAUGCUGGAAAGUAACACAUCUUGCUUGCUGGAUAGAGGCAUCGUUGUGACCUCCAAGUUCUUGCAGUGACACAGCAUCAUCUGGCAGGAGAAGAAAUGGCAUCAGCAGUUCCUAUCAAAAUAGCCACAGUCAUCAAAUCCUCGCCGAAUCUUGAAAAAAUUCAUUGCAAUGAUAAGGAGUUCAAGAUAAAGAAUUGUGGUUCUCGCCUGCAGAAGAGGAUGGUGGGACACUGCCUUGAGAGCGAAUGCAGCUCUUAUAAGCGCUAUGGCGACUCGGAAUCCGGGAAGUUCUCUCUAUUACAGUUUCUACUAAAAUAUCUCAACUUCAAGUACAAAGCGUGGAAGUUCCUGAAGGGACUCCUGGCGCCUUGUGUCGGGGACUCCUCAGUUUGCUGACAGCACUUGGUAUUUUUUAGGCUAGAGUCCUGUUUGUCUUUCACAAGACAGCGCAGAAAACGUGGAAAAACAUCCAUGCCUCUAGAGACAUUGGAUGUACAUAAAACACGUUUUUCAUGAUUGUGAAAUUUGGUCUCUUAUUCUGUUAGAAGACUAUAAAUGGCAGGUUAUUAAGGACAAAAUAUUAAGGAAAUAUAGAAAACUAUGAGCUUUGAAGUACUAUAACAUAGAAGUUUUCGUGUUCAUAUGAAUUUUAAGGCAUUAUUAGGGCGAUUUCAGUGGGUUGGACAUGUAGUAAUGCAGUUUGGUGGAAAAUAAAUCAGGAAGGACAGAGCGGAUUGGGAAUGUUACUAAUAUUACUAAAAAUUAGAAUAUCAAUUGAAAUGAACUGGUUGAGGGUAAGUUCGGUAGUUGGAUUCCUUCUCGAUAAAUUUGUGCCUUCCGGAUGCUGUCAUUGAGAACUAUUUAUUUUCUUGUUUAAAUCCUAUUUUGGUAAAAUAUUGUUCAAAUUAUCGUAUAUUUUUAAAGUGAUUUUUUGUCUAUUUAUUUACUCAACAUUUUAUCAGUUUUAGAGGCUGAAAAAUACUUAUUAACGAUUUGAUAGACACAAGAAAUUAAAGCUAAAUUUAUGCUGUUUUCGAAGUUCGGAAUUUUUAAACCUAGAGUGCAUUGGAUUUUAUUUGUAAGGGAUAAUCUUCAGAUAUCUAUAUUAAUAGGGCGUCGUUCGUUCAAGUGGAGUUUCCAGUACGUCUUUCUGUGCUUGUACUAAAAGAGACAGAUGCUUGGAUUUUUGGCUCAAAUGAAACGGCUUAUUACACAGAAUUAUAUAACUAACCGAAGUUACUGAACAUAGAAUGAGAGUCACAAAACUUCUACCCACUGCUGUGUUCUGUUGGG